rnacentral:tRNA from 1 species
AUGAGCUCAGUUGGUCAGAGCAUGGUGCUAAUAACACCAAGAUUGUGGGUUCAGUCCCUGCAU